UACGUAGGCGGAAAAUUAAGUCAGUAGUGAAAUCCUGCAGCUUAACUGUAGAACUGUUAUUGAUACUGGUUUUCUUGAAUGUAGUUGAGGUAGGCGGAACAUGUAAUGUAGCGGUGAAAUGCUUAGAUAUUACAUAGAACACCGAUUGCGAAGGCAGCUUACUAAGCUACGAUUGACGCUGAGGUACGAAAGCGUGGGGAGCGAACAGGAUUAGAUACCCUGGUAGUCC
rnacentral:rRNA from 1 species